rnacentral:rRNA from 1 species
GGUACACGCUGUGACUAGCAUAUCAAUAAGCGGAGGAAAAGAAACUAACAAGGAUUCCCCUAGUAACGGCGAGUGAAGCGGGAAGAGCUCAAAUUUGAAAUCUUAAAGGGUUUCCCUUUACGAAUUGUAGUUUAAAGAAGUGUUUUCUGUUGAGGUUUUGGUAAAAGUUCUUUGGAAUAGGACAUCAUAGAGGGUGAGAAUCCCGUAUUUGACCUUUACUUUCAACUUUGUGAUACACUUUCAAAGAGUCGGAUUGUUUGGGAAUGCAGUCCAAAAUGGGUGGUAAAUUUCAUCUAAAGCUAAAUAUUGGCGAGAGACCGAUAGCGAACAAGUACCGUGAGGGAAAGAUGAAAAGAACUUUGAAAAGAGAGUUAAACAGUACGUGAAAUUGUCAAAAGGGAAGCGUUUGACACCAGUGUUGUUUUUCUGAAGAUCAAUUAAAGAACUGUUUAUGCUAAGCUGUUUAGACUUUAUCAGCUAACUGUUUAGUUUUGAGCUUUUCUUUAAUGCACUUUUCAGUUAACAAGUCAACAUCAAUUUCUUUUGCUGUAAAAAAGCUUGAGGGAAGGUGGCUUGAGAUUCGUCUUAAGUGUUUAUAGCCUCUUGCCUAUGCAGUCGGAGAGAUUGAGGUCUGCAGCGUAGAUCCUUCGGGGCUAAAUGCAUUUGUGCUAAGUUAUAGCAUUUUAUAGACAACUUGUUGACUAUGAUUUGUCUUGUAGCUUACUCGCUUAUGUUAUUUUACCUACGCUUAGGAUGUUGACGCGCGUGUGUGCGUG